CCAAUAGCGUAUAUUAAAGUUGUUGCAGUUAAAAAGCUCGUAGUUGAAUUUUGGAUUCUACCAAUCGGUCCAUCUUUUGAUGAGUACUGGUUGUGUGGGGUCUAUCCGCCUGGUAAUACGUAAUGUCCUUUAUUGGAUGUUGCGGGUAGUCAGGACCUUUACCUUGAAAAAAUUAGAGUGUUUAAAGCAGGCUUAUGCCGGAAUACAUUAGCAUGGAAUAAUAGAAUAGGACGAAGUUGUUUUAUUUUGUUGGUUUCUAGGACAACCGUAAUGAUUAAUAGGGAUAGUUGGGGGAAUUAGUAUUCAAUUGUCAGAGGUGAAAUUCUUGGAUUUAUUGAAGACUAACUAUUGCGAAAGCAUUUGCCAAGGAUGUUUUCAUUAAUCAAGAACGAAAGUUAGGGGAUCGAAGACGAUCAGAUACCGUCGUAGUCUUAACCAUAAACUAUGCCGACUAGGGAUCGGGCGAUGUUGUUUCAAUGACUCGCUCGGCACCUUAUG
rnacentral:misc_RNA from 1 species